GCUUACCAUGCAAGUCGAACGCCCCGCAAGGGGAGUGGCAGACGGGUGAGUAACGCGUGGGAACAUACCCUUUCCUGCGGAAUAGCUCCGGGAAACUGGAAUUAAUACCGCAUACGCCCUACGGGGGAAAGAUUUAUCGGGGAAGGAUUGGCCCGCGUUGGAUUAGCUAGUUGGUGGGGUAAAGGCCUACCAAGGCGACGAUCCAUAGCUGGUCUGAGAGGAUGAUCAGCCACAUUGGGACUGAGACACGGCCCAAACUCCUACGGGAGGCAGCAGUGGGGAAUAUUGCACAAUGGGCGCAAGCCUGAUCCAGCCAUGCCGCGUGAGUGAUGAAGGCCUUAGGGUUGU
rnacentral:rRNA from 1 species